AGUCUUGUCAUAGGGCCCUAGGCAAGGUGCAGAAGUGAUGGACCAAAUGUUAAAAAGUGGGAAUCUAGCAUGCUAAUCUUUUUAGUCCUGAAAGGGGUGUGUUUCUGCUUUGAGUCAGUUUUGCAUGUGUUCAUUCAUAAAUCCAGUGCUUUCUUUCCUGGGGGGAUGCAUACCCCUAAACAUUUUGUGAAUCUAACGGGAGAAGAAACUAAAAAUGUAAAAAAAUAAAAUAGUUUCUUCUCUAGCAAGGUGAAUUGUCAGUUCCGUUGCUACCCCCAAUGGAGGCCUCAUUUUCUGUCACGGUGUUUCCUGAGUCUCAGACGGAAUGAGACUCCGUUUUUUUGACUGUUGCUUGUGACUUUGUUUUUGUGACUUGUUUUUGUGAUUGUGUGUCACAAAAUCAGUUUUUGCAACUGAUUGAUUGAUUUUGUGACUGCGGAAAUGGAUAAAAGCCCCCCAUCCAAACAAUGACUAUAAUCAGUGCACAUAAGGGGGGGGGGAAUUAAUUUUAAUGUUUAUCAUCUACAAUACUGUAUUAUUUAUUUUAUAGUACAGUACAUUGAUUAUUGCUUUCAUUUUAUGGAUCAAUGGUCUCAUUCAACAGUAAAAUUCAUGUUAAAUUGCUGUUUUGGGGGUUGUUUUUAAAAGUCUGGAACGAAUUAAUUAAUCUGUUUUGCAUUACUUUCUAUGGGAAAGCACACCUUGGUUUUGGAACAGACUUACGGAAUGGAUUAAGUUUGGGAACCAAGGUACCACUGUAUAACGAAACAGCAUAUAGCCAGCUAGAAACGGAUACCGGGGAGACAUCCAUUUAUGCAAACCUGGGAUGGGUGGAGUAUGUUCUGGACGGUGGUGGUGUUUGGAUUUAGGGGUUGGAGUGAGGAAGGGGGCUUACCUAGCAUGAUAGCAUCCAGUCCAUCUUUGCAUGGGUUAGGGAUUUUACUAGGCUUCUGUGAAACAGCCGGAACAGUACUGUGGGCAGGUGAAGUCACUGUCCUUGAUGUCGUUGGGAUGGUCUUCUUGCCUGCAGGUAAAUAUAAGGAAGGGAAUUAUUUUUGGGUGCCCAGCAUCUCCACCAA